ensembl:snRNA U6 U6 spliceosomal RNA
GUGCUCACGUAAGCAGCACAUAUACUAAAAUUGGACCAAUACAGAGAAGAUUAACAUAGUCACUGUGCAAGGAUGACACCCAAAUUUGUAAGGCAUCCCAUGUGAAG